AUAACCCUAUAUACAGAAAGACCAGGCCCAUUUCAUUGAUAUAUCUACUCUCCACAUUCCUAUGACUCUGGAUUCCCUCACAUAUUGCGUAAAGGAUUGUUUUUGUGUAUGAAAAUACAGAUAAUCUAUGACAUCUCUUGUGUUAUGAGGAAAGAAAUAAUAUUCAUGUUUCUCCGUCCUCAUUAUUCCUCUCUACAAUUACUUAUAUCCUUAUGUGGUAAAAAUCAACUAACCCUCACUCUGUAAGGGACAACAGAAUAUCCCUCAACAGUAUGUUCUGGGCUUGGUCCCAGAUAUUACAAGACCCCUGAAGUAUAUUAGUAGUCAUGUAGUCACUUGCCCUUUAUGUCUCUGCCUGUCUGCCUGAUAUCAUUCACCGUUAUAUUAAUUUGAUUAUCUUUAUUAACAGAAUGCUCUUUCAUGUAACUUAACCAUGAUCAUACCCUAUCAGACUCUGCUUCUGGGGGACUCACCUGGCUGAGUUACCCCUAGCUAGCUAGUAAUACACUUCCCUUUCCCUGAUUUUCAUUUUCUUUGGGUGUUCCUUUGGAUGAUCUAUUUUGAGACCCUAACAUAUAGGGGUUUGUCUGUUGAAUGAUACCCUGAGGACCUCUGGGACUCGGCAAGUUCUCUCCCAACUUUCGUGGUGACUUUCCUGAGUUUUUGCCCCAGUCUUGGCUUCUACACUUCUACCUUAGGGGCUGACUCUUCCCCUUGUGACCUGUCUGCCAAUCAGGGGAAGCAGUUGCUGGACAUCCUUCAGAUCUCCAAGCAAGUCCCCACCUACCUAGGACUCAGGCAUUCACUGAGAACACGCCCCUAAAGACCCUGUGUUUGCAGCCUUUCUCUCCCUGUUAACCUUGGUAACUAUCCCAGCCUGAAGCCCUGGACAUUGCCUAUAGUCAAUAUCUCUCUCUCCUAACAAUAGGGACAACUUUAUAACCAUUCUCAGCUCUGAAGAAGCUAUAGAAAAUUGAGACCAUCGCCCCCUUUCCCCUAGAUAUUUGGAGAGAGGGGAGAUGACAUGGGCAUUGUAUCCCCAGAAACUCGGGCAGACUAUUGUCAGGGAAAUUCUUUUGCUCCCUUACAUCCUCAUGACUCCUAGCAACAGUAAAUACCUUCUCCCACCUGAAGGCGCCCAAUGGUUGUGUGCGUCCUCAGAUUUGACCCUCUGUGUAGCUAAAGGCUCCUUAGACUCAAAGGUUCGGUUUGUGAAGGACUGUAUCAACACUGUCCAGCUCAUGGUACUAAAGCAAUAGUACCAACCCCUCUAAGCUAUGUAAAAACAAUAAAGCCAUGAGUAUGAUUCUUCAUUAUGAACAA